GUUUUUCGCAUUUAAAUAAAUGUAACUUUUAGUAUGAUGUAUAAAGUGAUAUUCAGAGUCAAUUUGAAAUUGAUCUUCAUUGUUUAUUAUUUUUGGUUUUUAAUUAAUUAGUCUUUUGUUCAAAAUCUCCCUGCUUUGGCAGGCAUUCACAGCAUCCCACAAACAAGCAAGUCGACCCUGGCUGCUUAUUGCAAUUGGUAAUCCAGCCAUACCUGGUGAACACAGGUACAACUCAGCAGCACACCAAAGGUCCAGACAAGCUAUAUUUAUCUUACUCAAAAUACGCUUCCGUUGUUUGGAUUAUUCAGAGACUGUUCUGCAGUAUUCCCCUAGUAAAGUUUGGGCUAUCAUUUUAGCAGCAUGCAUUUUACAUAAUAUUGGGGUUCUCCAAUUACCUGAAGCUAUUAAAGGUGAUGAUCCUCCUGUUCAUCCCACAGAUGCAGGCCAAUGUGGGAACAAAGCAAAUCAUUUGUGGCCACUUCUCUUAUAGGAUUUGUUGAAAGAUUGGAAUGCCUUAUGGGAUAAAUGGAAUGAAUCCAGCACACCUUCAGAAUGAUCAUCUUUUGCUGUUCCUGAGUCUCCUCUGGCUCAUCUGAAAAUACAGCAUCAUCAGGUGAUCAUGUUUCUGCUUCCUUGCAUUCUACUUCACUUAGAGGAUGACUUUGUCAACAUUAAUUCAGUACAAAUUGCUGAAUUAUCAACAACUUCAAUAUUUGGGCUUGUAGAAAUAAAGCUCUUAUUAUUAUGUUCUAA